rnacentral:rRNA from 1 species
GACGAACGCUGGCGGCGUGCCUAAUACAUGCAAGUCGAACGCAGUGGGGACGGGUGAGUAACACGUGGGUAACCUCCCAUCAGAGGGGAUAACACUUGGAAACAGGUGCUAAACCGAUACUGAUGGAUGGACCCGCGGUGCAUUAGCUAGUUGGUGAGGUAACGGCUCACCAAGGCAACGAUGCAUAGCCGCCCUGUGAGUGAGAUCGGCAACAAGAGGACGGCGACAGGGCCCAGCUUCCUACGGGAGCCAGCGGUAGGUAUUCUUCGGAAAUGGACGAAAGUCUGACCGAGCAACGCCGCGUGAGUGCAGAGGGUUUUCGGAUCGUACAACUCUGGUGUUAGGCAAGCGGUAUCUAACCAGAAAGCCACGGCUAACUACGUGCCAGACGCCGCGGUAAUUC